UACGGAGGGUGCGAGCGUUGUCCGGAAUCAUUGGGCGUAAAGGGCGCGUAGGCGGCUCGGCACGUCCGUUGUGAAAUCGCCCGGCUCAACUGGGCGGGGUCGGCGGAUACGGCCGAGCUGGAGCAAGCUAGGGGGUAAUGGAAUUCCCGGUGUAGUGGUGGAAUGCGUAGAUAUCGGGAGGAACACCAGUGGCGAAGGCGGUUACCUGGAGCGUUGCUGACGCUGAUGCGCGAAAGCGUGGGGAGCGAUCCGG
rnacentral:rRNA from 1 species